rnacentral:rRNA from 1 species
CCUACGGGUGGCAGCAGUCGAGAAUCAUUCACAAUGGGGGAAACCCUGAUGGUGCGACGCCGCGUUGGGGAAUGAAGGUCUUCGGAUUGUAAACCCCUGUCAUGUGGGAGCAAAUUAAAAAGAUAGUACCACAAGAGGAAGAGACGGCUAACUCUGUGCCAGCAGCCGCGGUAAUACAGAGGUCUCAAGCGUUGUUCGGAAUCACUGGGCGUAAAGCGUGCGUAGGCUGUUUCGUAAGUCGUGUGUGAAAGGCGCGGGCUCAACCCGCGGACGGCACAUGAUACUGCGAGACUAGAGUAGUGGAGGGGGAACCGGAAUUCUCGGUGUAGCAGUGAAAUGCGUAGAUAUCGAGAGGAACACUCGUGGCGAAGGCGGGUUCCUGGACAUUAACUGACGCUGAGGCACGAAGGCCAGGGGAGCGAAAGGGAUUAGAUACCCCAGUAGUC